rnacentral:rRNA from 1 species
GACGAACGCUGGCGGCGUGCCUAAUACAUGCAAGUAGAACGCUGAAGCGAGGAGCUUCCUCUUCUUGGAUGAGUUGCGAACGGGUGAGUAACGCGUAGGUAACCUGCCUUGUAGCGGGGGAUAACUAUUGGAAACGAUAGCUAAUACCGCAUAACAAUGGAUGACACAUGUCAUUUAUUUGAAAGGGGCAAUUGCUCCACUACAAGAUGGACCUGCGUUGUAUUAGCUAGUAGGUGAGGUAAUGGCUCACCUAGGCGACGAUACAUAGCCGACCUGAGAGGGUGAGCGGCCACACUGGGAGGGAGACACGGCACAGACUCCUACGGGAGGCAGCAGGAGGGAAUCGUCGGCAAUGGGGGCAACCCUGACCGAGCAACGCCGAGUGAGUGAAGAAGGUUUUCGGAUCGUAAAGCUCGGUUGUAAGUCAAGAACGGGUGUGAGAGUGGAAAGUUCACACUGUGACGGUAGCUGAACAGAAAGGGACGGCUAACUACGUG